AACGAACGCUGGCGGCAUGCCUAACACAUGCAAGUCGAACGAGACCUUCGGGUCUAGUGGCGCACGGGUGCGUAACGCGUGGGAACCUGCCCUUAGGUUCGGAAUAACUCCCCGAAAGGGGUGCUAAUACCGGAUAAUGUCUUCGGACCAAAGAUUUAUCGCCUUUGGAUGGGCCCGCGUUGGAUUAGCUAGUUGGUAGGGUAAAAGCCUACCAAGGCGACGAUCCAUAGCUGGUCUGAGAGGAUGAUCAGCCACACUGGGACUGAGACACGGCCCAGACUCCUACGGGAGGCAGCAGUGGGGAAUAUUGGACAAUGGGCGAAAGCCUGACGCAGCAAUGCCGCGUGAGUGAUGAAGGCCUUAGGGUUGUAAAGCUCUUUUACCCGGGAUGAUAAUGACAGUACCGGGAGAAUAAGCUCCGGCUAACUCCGUG
rnacentral:rRNA from 1 species